rfam:Astyanax mexicanus chromosome 3, whole genome shotgun sequence.
GGCUCAAUAGCUCAGAGGUUAGCGCACUGAUCUUGUAAACCAGGGGUCGCGAGUUCAAUUCUAGUUGGUGCAU